CCUACGGGAGGCAGCAGUGGGGAAUAUUGGACAAUGGGCGCAAGCCUGAUCCAGCCAUGCCGCGUGAGUGAUGAAGGCCCUAGGGUUGUAAAGCUCUUUCACCGGAGAAGAUAAUGACGGUAUCCGGAGAAGAAGCCCCGGCUCAACUUCUGCCAGUAG
rnacentral:rRNA from 1 species